rnacentral:lncRNA from 1 species
CUGUCCUGGCCCACUUGGUACAUAGUGCUACCAGAUCAAUGAGGACUCAGUCAGCAUGGUCCUACAGAGCAGCAAGGUCAUGGGCAGCGGUGUGUGGAGGUCAUCAGUGUGUCGAGAAAGGUCAGGGAGCAUGGCCCUAUGCUGAGCUGGUGUUGGUGCAGGGGCAGCACUAGUGUGGGAGCAGGGACUGGGGACCUGCUCACAGCAUGGGCUGCCUCCAGCAAUAGCUUUGCAUACAGCAGGCUUCAGUGGGGAUGGAAGUGGUGCCCUCACCAGAGCACUGUGGCUCUG